ACGCUCGACACCUACAGGAGGCAGCAGUUGGGAAUAUUGGACAAUGGAGGAAACUCUGAUCCAGUGACGCCGCGUGAAGGAAGAAGGUCUUCGGAUUGUAAACUUAUUUUGUCAGGGAAGAAAAAUGACUGUACCUGAAGAAAAAGCACCGGCUAACUACGUGCAGCAGCCGCGGUAAUCUGAGGCGGGCUGGCAAGGC
rnacentral:rRNA from 1 species